rnacentral:rRNA from 1 species
AGGACGAACGCUGGCGGCGUGCUUAACACAUGCAAGUCGAACGGAAAGGCCCGCUUGCGGGUACUCGAGUGGCGAACGGGUGAGUAACACGUGGGCAACCUGCCCUCAGCUUCGGGAUAACACUUGGAAACAGGUGCUAAUACCGGAUAAUAACCUUUCAUCGCAUGGUGGUUGGUUCAAAGUUUUUCGGCUGAGGAUGGGCCCGCGGCCUAUCAGCUUGUUGGUGGGGUAAUGGCCUACCAAGGCGACGACGGGUAGCCGGCCUGAGAGGGCGACCGGCCACACUGGGACUGAGACACGGCCCAGACUCCUACGGGAGGCAGCAGUGGGGAAUAUUGCGCAAUGGGCGGAAGCCUGACGCAGCGACGCCGCGUGAGGGAUGACGGCCUUCGGUUGUAAACCUCUUUCAGCUCUGACGAAGCGCAAGUGACGGUAGGAGCAGAAGAAGCACCGGCCAACUACGUGCCAGCAGCCGCGGUAA